rnacentral:tRNA from 1 species
CGGCCACCGGCAGGUGGACCUCGCUGCCGUCCAGGUGCAGGAAGACCAGCCGGCGCGGGGGCUUGCCCAGGUUCUGCACCCGGGCGACCGUC